rnacentral:rRNA from 1 species
GAUGAACGCUGGCGGCGUGCCUAAUACAUGCAAGUCGAGCGAACAGACGAGGAGCUUGCUCCUUCGACGUUAGCGGCGGACGGGUGAGUAACACGUAGGUAACCUACCUAUAAGACUGGGAUAACUUCGGGAAACCGGAGCUAAUACCGGAUAAUAUUUCGAACCGCAUGGUUCGAUAGUGAAAGAUGGCUUUGCUAUCACUUAUAGAUGGACCUGCGCCGUAUUAGCUAGUUGGUAAGGUAACGGCUUACCAAGGCAACGAUACGUAGCCGACCUGAGAGGGUGAUCGGCCACACUGGAACUGAGACACGGUCCAGACUCCUACGGGAGGCAGCAGUAGGGAAUCUUCCGCAAUGGGCGAAAGCCUGACGGAGCAACGCCGCGUGAGUGAUGAAGGUCUUCGGAUCGUAAAACUCUGUUAUUAGGGAAGAACAAACGUAUAAGUAACUGUGCACGUCUUGACGGUACCUAAUCAGAAAGCCACGGCUAACUACGUG